rnacentral:misc_RNA from 1 species
CGCUUUCAAAACAUUGCAAACCCCAUGCACUGACAGAGCCUCACAGUCCCUCACAAUAUAUCAAGUCCCUCUCUCUCACUAUCAUUCAACUUUGCGUUUUUCGAAAUAACUAAGUUUACCAAACCACAUUAAAACUGUCUCAGCUACCUCUGGCUUUCUGCAAAGUCCAAUUCCAUGCACCCCAACGUAAUGCUCAAAUCAUCCUUAUAACCCUUCCUCUCCCCUCCUCUCCUCUUUGGGACUUCAUAGCUAGUUAGUAAUUAACUUCUUCAUUAAGUCCCUCAAAGCCUUCUCAUGGCGCUACUUCUUUUCUUCAUUUUGUUUGCAGUUCCGAGCGGUGCUAGUGUAACCAACAAGCUAGACCAAACAUUGGUGCCACUACCACAAGAACCAGACACUGGAAUAAAGUGUACGUCAUGCCCUUGUGUCAACCCAUGUGCCCUUCCGCCUCCGCCACCCCCACCAGAGACCACAUGCUGCACUCCUCUGCCUCCUCCGCCACCCCCACCAGAGACCACAUGCUGCACUCCUCUGCCUCCUCCGCCACCCCCACCAGAGACCACAUGCUGCACUCCUCUGCCUCCUCCGCCACCAAGGUUCAUUUACGUGACCGGUGUGCCUGGGAAUUUGUGUGUAGCUGAUCCUUGUGAUAAUUGGGAUUUUUUCAGCGGUGCUAGACAGAAUGUUAUUAAAGGGUUGCUGCUUUUGGCUGGGUUCGGGGCUCUACACUUGAUGAUAAUUUGAUUAUCACUUUAUAUUAAUUUCUAGUUAAGGUCACAUUGCUCUCUCUUUACUAGGCUUUCUUCUUGGUUUAGCUCACAAUAUUGUUUUAAUAUCAAAAGAAUUUUCUUCCAUUUACAUGCUUCUCGUAUUGGUGGUAUUAUGUAUCAAGGCAUGUUAUGUAGCUUCGCAUGAAGGAAGUAAACUUACAUGUAUAUUUCAAAUUUUUUUUUAUUUUCUUCAAUUUUAAUUAGAUCCACCACUUAAAUUUCACCCAAAUAAAAAAAAA